AGCGGACUGAGCAGUCGCGUGCACCUUUUGGUGUAUGAGGAAAGUCCGAGCCCCGCAGGACAGGAUAACGGCUAACGGCCGCCGAGGGUGACCUUAGGGAAAGUGCAACAGAGAUAUACCGCCGAGAAAUCGGUAAGGGUGGAAAGGCGAGGUAAGAGCUCACCGGAACGCGGGGAACCGCGUUGCCCUGUAAACCCUAUCCGGAGCAACAUCAACUGGGACGAUACGCUUGUCCGGCGUGUUCCGAAAGAUGGCUUGAGCGGCGGGAGCAAUCCCCCGUCGAGAUAGAUGACUGCUUUCAACAGAACUCGGCUUAUAGGUUCGGUC
rnacentral:RNase_P_RNA from 1 species